GACGAACGCUGGCGGCGUGCUUAACACAUGCAAGUCGAACGGAAAGGCCCUGCUUUUGUGGGGUGCUCGAGUGGCGAACGGGUGAGUAACAAGUGAGUAACCUGCCCUUGACUUUGGGAUAACUUCAGGAAACUGGGGCUAAUACCGGAUAGGAGCUCCUGCUGCAUGGUGGGGGGUGGAAGGUUUCGGCGGUUGGGGAUGGACUCGCGGCGUAUCAGCUUGUUGGUGGGGUAGUGGCUUACCAAGGCUUUGACGGGUAGCCGGCCUGAGAGGGUGACCGGCCACAUUGGGACUGAGAUACGGCCCAGACUCCUACGGGAGGCAGCAGUGGGGAAUAUUGCACAAUGGGCGGAAGCCUGAUGCAGCAACGCCGCGUGCGGGAUGACGGCCUUCGGGUUGUAAACCGCUUUCGCCUGUGACGAAGCGUGAGUGACGGUAAUGGGUAAAGAAGCACCGGCUAACUACGUG
rnacentral:rRNA from 1 species